rnacentral:rRNA from 1 species
GGUUAAGCGACUAAGCGUACACGGUGGAUGCCCUGGCAGUCAGAGGCGAUGAAGGACGUGCUAAUCUGCGAUAAGCGUCGGUGAGGUGAUAUGAACCGUUAUAACCGGCGAUUUCCGAAUGGGGAAACCCAGUGUGAUUCGUCACACUAUCAUUAACUGAAUCCAUAGGUUAAUGAGGCGAACCGGGGGAACUGAAACAUCUAAGUACCCCGAGGAAAAGAAAUCAACCGAGAUUCCCCCAGUAGCGGCGAGCGAACGGGGAGGAGCCCAGAGCCUGAAUCAGUGUGUGUGUUAGUGGAAGCGUCUGGAAAGGCG